UGGGGAUGGAGAAUGAGAUGGGGAGUGGUGAUGCGAUGGUGGAGCUGGGAAUGGUGAAUGGGAUGGAGAUGGGCUAGGUGAUGGGGAUGGAGAAUUAGAUGGCGAGUGAUGUCGGGAUGGUGCUGGAGAUGGAGAAUGAGAUGAGGGGCGAUGAUGGGAUGGUGCUGGAGAUGGAGGAUGUGAUCGGGGUUGAUGAUGCGAUGGUGACGAAGAAUGGGGUGGUGGAUGACCAUG
rnacentral:lncRNA from 1 species